rnacentral:rRNA from 1 species
UGCCAGCCGCCGCGGUAAGACGGAGGGUGCAAACGUUGUUCGGAAUCACUGGGCAUAAAGCGCACGUAGGCGGCGCGCUAAGUCAGGCGUGAAAGCCCUCGGCUCAACCGAGGAACUGCUCCUGAUACUGGCGUGCUCGAGGACGGUUGGGGUGAGUGGAACUCCUGGUGGAGCGGUGAAAUGCGUAGAUAUCAGGAGGAACACCGGUGGCGAAAGCGGCUCACUGGGCCGUCUCUGACGCUGAGGUGCGAAAGCUAGGGGAGCGAACGGGAUUAGAUA